rnacentral:snoRNA from 2 species
AGCGCGAGGAUGAACGUUUCUAAGUUGUCGACUGGGUAUAAUAAAAACCACUCAAAAAGAAA